rnacentral:rRNA from 1 species
GUCGAACGGCAGCACGGGGAGUAAUCCUGGUGGCGAGUGGCGAACGGGUGAGUAAUACAUCGGAACGUGUCCUGUAGUGGGGGAUAGCCCGGCGAAAGCCGGAUUAAUACCGCAUACGCUCUACGGAGGAAAGGGGGGGAUCUUAGGACCUCUCGCUACAGGGGCGGCCGAUGGCAGAUUAGCUAGUUGGUGGGGUAAAGGCCUACCAAGGCGACGAUCUGUAGCUGGUCUGAGAGGACGACCAGCCACACUGGGACUGAGACACGGCCCAGACUCCUACGGGAGGCAGCAGUGGGGAAUUUUGGACAAUGGGGGCAACCCUGAUCCAGCAAUGCCGCGUGUGUGAAGAAGGCCUUCGGGUUGUAAAGCACUUUUGUCCGGAAAGAAAACUUCUGCCCUAAUACGGUGGGAGGAUGACGGUACCGGAAGAAUAAGCACCGGCUAACUACGUGCCAGCAGCCGCGGUAAUACGUAGGGUGCAAGCGUUAAUCGGAAUUACUGGGCGUAAAGCGUGCGCAGGCGGUCCGCUAAGACAGAUGUGAAAUCCCCGGGCUUAACCUGGGAACUGCAUUUGUGACUGGCGGGCUAGAGUAUGGCAGAGGGGGGUAGAAUUCCACGUGUAGCAGUGAAAUGCGUAGAGAUGUGGAGGAAUACCGAUGGCGAAGGCAGCCCCCUGGGCCAAUACUGACGCUCAUGCACGAAAGCGUGGGGAGCA